CCAGCCGAGUGAUGAACGUCAAUUACAGUUAUCCCUGUCUGAGAACAAUUGGUAUCCGAGCUGACAAUUCCUCGUUUCUGACGGCUGG
rnacentral:snoRNA from 1 species